CCACAGCGAGGAGAGUGGCAUGGCCUUUGCUCAAGGAUGACAUGCAAAUUGGUGAAGUGUUCCAUAUUUUU
ensembl:snRNA RNU6-237P RNA, U6 small nuclear 237, pseudogene